UACAGAGGGUGCAAGCGUUGUUCGGAAUUAUUGGGCGUAAAGGGCGCGUAGGCGGUGCGGUAAGUCUGUAGUGAAAUCUCUGGGCUCAACUCAGAGUCUGCUGCAGAAACUGCCGGGCUUGAGUAUGGGAGAGGUGAGUGGAAUUCCUGGUGUAGCGGUGAAAUGCGUAGAUAUCAGGAGGAACACCUGUGGCGAAAAGCGGCUCACUGGACCAUAACUGACGCUGAUGCACGAAAAGCUAGGGGGAGCAAAACAGG
rnacentral:rRNA from 1 species